UAGAGUCCUACAGUGUGCUGUUCGUCUCCUUGGUAACCAGUGUGGGGUCCUGUAUGUCCUGAAGGUAUGUUAGAGUCCUACCAUGUGCUGUUUGUCUCCUUGGUAACCAGUGUGAGGUCCUGUAUGUCCUGAAGGUAUGUUAGAGUCCUACCAUGUGCUGUUUGUCUCCUUGGUAACCAGUGUGAGGUCCUGUAUGUCCUGAAGGUAUGUGAGAGUCCUACCAUGUGCUGUUUGUCUCCUUGGUAACCAGUGUGAGGUCCUGUAUGUCCUGAAGGUAUGUUAGUCCUACCAUGUGCUGUUUGUCUCCUUGGUAACCAGUGUGAGGUCCUGUAUGUCCUGAAGGUAUGUUAGAGUCCUACCAUGUGCUGUUUGUCUCCUUGGUAACCAGUGUGAGGUCCUGUAUGUCCUGAAGGUAUGUUAGAGUCCUACCAUGUGCUGUUUGUCUCCUUGGUAACCAGUGUGAGGUCCUGUAUGUCCUGAAGGUAUGUGAGAGUCCUACCAUGUGCUGUUUGUCUCCUUGGUAACCAGUGUGAGGUCCUGUAUGUCCUGAAGGUAUGUUAGUCCUACCAUGUGCUGUUUGUCUCCUUGGUAACCAGUGUGAGGUCCUGAAGGUAUGUUAGAGUCCUACCAUGUGCUGUUUGUCUCCUUGGUAACCAGUGUGAGGCGCUGUAUCUCUAUGGAGUCAUGCUGUUGGUUAUUGACCAGAAGAUGGAGGGGGAGGUCAGAGAGAGGAUGCUGGUGUCCUACUAUAGAUACAGGUGAGACCUUUGCUGCUGUUUUUGGGGGGGAAAUGGCUUCUACAUCCUUUAUACAAUCCUAUAAUACUAUGAUAGUAUCUAUAAUACUAUGAUAGUAUCUAUAAUACUGUGAUAGUAUCUAUAAUACUGUGAUAGUAUCUAUAAUACUGUGAUAGUAUCUA